rnacentral:rRNA from 1 species
AUUGAACGCUGGCGGCAGGCCUUACACAUGCAAGUCGAGCGAGCGGCGGACGGGUGAGUAAUGUCUGGGAAACUGCCUGCUGGAGGGGGCUAACUACUGGAAUCGGUAGCUAAUACCGCAUACCAUCAGAUGUGCCCAGAUGGGAUUAGCUAGUAGGUGGGGUAAUGGCUCACAUAGGCGACGAUCCCUAGCUGGUCUGAGAGGAUGACCAGCCACACUGGAACUGAGACACGGUCCAGACUCCGACGGGAGGCAGCAGUGGGGAAUAUUGGACAAUGGGCGCAAGCCUGAUGCAGCCAUGCCGCGUGUGUGAAGAAGGCCUUCGGGUUGUAAAGCACUUUCAGCGGGGAGGCGUUACCCGCAGAAGAAGCACCGGCUAACUCCGUGCCAGCAGCCGCGGUAAUUC